UCCUACGGGGCGCAGCAGUGAGGAAUAUUGGUCAAUGGUCGGGAGACUGAACCAGCCAAGCCGCGUGAGGGAGGAAGGUACAGAGUAUCGUAAACCUCUUUUGUCAGGGAACAAAGACUGGGACGCGUCCCCGGAUGAGUGUACCUGAAGAAAAAGCAUCGGCUAACUCCGUGCCAGCAGCCGCGGUAAUACGGAGGAUGCGAGCGUUAUCCGGAUUUAUUGGGUUUUAAGGGUGCGCAGGCGGUCUGUUAAUGCAGCGGUCAAAGCCCGGGGCUCAACCCCGGCCCGCCGUUGAACACUGCAGG
rnacentral:rRNA from 1 species